rnacentral:lncRNA from 1 species
AAAAAAAAAAAAAAAAAGGACUAAGCAUAUUCAGCCUUGCUCUCAGUCUCCACAUCCAGGAAUGUAUCUUGAUGGGAAAAAGGAAAAGGCGGAAAGUCGCUCCAUCCAAGACCCAGGCUGCCAAAUGCUGGUUUCAAGCACAUGUUGCCUCAACUUGGGCUUGGCUCCAGAAGGGGAAGAGCUCACAAUGGAAACAGUGAUGGCUGUUUGCUCAGGCAGCCAAGAGAAUGAAAAGCUCAUUGAAACCCUCUCCAUGGGGAGAGGCACGGUGGGCCGCUGGGUGGUGAAACCAACCUGACAACAGAGCAGGAUCACAGAACCCAUUCCCAGCGUCUUUCUUCAGUUCAACAACAGACCUUUCUGUGCAUCUGCCCAGGAAAUGGCUGAGAAAUGAAACUGUGGGCAACCCAAGCUUUGCUCAGCAAAAGAUGCACAUCUGCUUCACCCGUAUUUUCACUGAAUUAGAGCCUGUUACCUGGGAGAAAGCAAAGAGAUCUCCGUGCAUGUUCCCAGUGCCCACCUCAAGAUUUCCUCAACUUCCUUUUUCGUUGCUACCACUUCAGCUGGCAGCUGGAGAAAAGGGAGAAACCGGGCCUCGGUGACGGAGCGGCAGGACACUCUCAACCAGCUUCAGAUGUGCCAACGCAGGCAGAUCCCGCAGCCCGGCUCUUUGCUGCUCUCAGAACAAUGUGGGCCCACGUGGGUUAGUAUUUUGCUUCAUAUGCUUUGGAGGAAUUCUGUUCUAGAAGAAAGGGCAGUGCACAAACUGUAGUACAGAGGUUUCCAACCCAGGUAUACCCAGGAAUAGGAAACUUCGAGUAGGUGGAGUGAACUAGAAAGCUAUUCCUUGUCCAAAGAGCAGCCAUUAUUAUGUUCCGGCUGACUGUGCUGGAUCUUCGGGAUUUUGGGGGGAGAAGCCAGAAAGUUGGAUUUUUAUGUGCAUAUCUAGGGGCCACAUAGAUGCAGACCUUCCAUUUGUUACCUCUGGUCUGGCAAAACAGGGAUGGAUUUGGCCCAUAGACCUGUUUGAAUUGAGGCUCCAGAAUGGACUGAGUGUGUGAUCCUGGGUGGGUAACUGCCUUCUCAGAGAGUCCUCACCUUGGACAUGAGGGCAGCAGCACCCAGCCGUGGGGUUGUGGGGAGGAGAUGAGGUAACUGGACAGCAUAGACGGGAGAAAGGCUGCCCACCGAAUAAACAGUGCCUGGCACUGGUCUCCCAGUGCCACUCAUAAGGGACUUGUUCCCAUUUCUAAUCCUGAUUGCCAGAGCUGUUGAUAAUAAACAUAAGAAGUCAUCCUUAGGAGAAGCCUGCUGGGUCAUGUUUGUGGAGCCUCCUGCUGCGUGAGCACUGGUGUUAGCGCCUUUGCUCGUGCGCACCACCCCAUCCACAUCUGGAAGCAACAGCCCGUCUCCAGCAGCUAAGGAGGCGAGCAAGCGGAGCUCUUGAUCACGGAGGUAUAUAUAGAUCCUCCUACCUAACUCCGGUGGCUGUGCCUUCCUGAUGGCAACCGCCAGAUUGGGUUUUUUCUCCCUGAGGAAAUAAAGAUGAAAAGGGGGACCAAUUGUGCUUUUUAGAGCAUCCUGCCACUCAGUCUAAUGAAGAGCGAGGCUUUUGAGAAUAAGAACAUUUAUACUGCCGCUUUCUAAAUUCUUGAAGGAGAUGCUUGGGCCACUUUUAGAAAUGGUGCUCUGGUGCAGGCACCUGCCUGUCCAUGUGGCCCUCCAUGUAGCCAUAGUGGGUUUCAGCCACUGCCACAUUAAGAUACCUUAGCACUUGCUAAGCAGGCGCUCAGCUCCAAGUAGACCCAUCAUAUCUUUCUGAACACCAACAGUAGGGCAGGCCUUGUGCUGUGCACCUGAAGUACAAGGAUGGGGCUUAGUUGUUACUCCUUGACUGAGGAAACAUGAGUAUGGCUGUGAUAGAGGUCUAACACCCCCUUGGGAGAGGGAGAGGCCCAGGAAGAUCUCAGAGGCCUGGGUACACUUGAGCAGAGCUGACGGAGAAAUAUUAGGGGGCAGCAAGCGAGGAGAAACGGGUGGUGCCUAUGGGGACAGCUUUGAGAGAGGGGUAUUUGAAGCCAAGAAUCACCAUAUGCAGAGGUCAGAGAUGAGAGCCCUGCGUGGCUGGGCUGGUGGAGUCUGGAAGGGGUAGGAGAGUCCCUAUCCCUCCUGGGGCAAGUCAGGGGGCACUUUGGAAGUCCUGGGAAAGAGAAUAGUUUUAUCUUGGUGGCUCAGUACUUCAGGGAGUCUUGAGGAAAGGGUUUUGAGAUGGAAGGUGCAUUUUAGAAAGAUCGCUGUCCUCUGUAGCACGGAGGAUGAACUGGUCGGAGGCCAGGAUGGUGGCAAGGAAACCACAGUUGGGGGGUUACUUUAAUAAGAAGAGAAAUGAUGAGGCUCAGACAGUAAUGGUUUUAGGAGCCACUGGGAAGGGACUGCCUGAGAAAUAUGCAGGGGCUGGUGAGGCUGAUUGACUGACUGUAGGUGGGGGAUGUGGAUGACGGUGUGUUGGGGAUGGCGCCCAGGUUCCUGGGUGGGUGACAGGAGGGAAGGAGGUGUCACGUAUCGGGAAGGGGAUCUAGGAGGAGGGGUUGCACUGGGACGGGAGAGGGGCGGUGCGUAUGGAGAGCGGCAGGCAGGGGACAUGAACUCAGCCAGUUUGGGACUUCUGUGAUACCACGGGAUGGGGACCUGGAGGGAGCAUUUGGAAGGACUGGUUUGGGGCUCAGGAGAGAGAUGGACUACAGAUAGAGUCUGGAAUGAUCUGUUUAUAGGAAGCCUUUGAAGACUUGGGUCAGAGUAAAAUGACCCAAGGAGAAUGAGUACAGAAUGAGAAGAAGAGGGGGCCUUGGACUGAACCCUGGAGAGUUCAGAAGUGGGUAGAGAAGAACAGGAAAGAAAGCGACCAAGAGGCCAGAGGAAAAUCAGGAGAAGGCCAGUUAGGAGCUUCAAAGAGGGAGAAUCUGGAGUGGAGAAUAUGUUAAAAGACAAGGAAGGAAAGAACCAAGAACCUUGUAGUUCUCCUCCAGCCCCCCCAGUUGGGGAACAAGGUUAUUUUCGGUGACCUCAGCAGACCCAGAGUCAGGGAAGUGAAAGCCUCUCCUGGGCUCAGGGGUGAAGGAGAGUUAGAAACAGAGAGGAACCCACUCCCUCUUCUCACUGAUGGAACUUAAAUAUAAAAGGUUAUGAAAUAGUUCAAACAUAACAAUAAAAAGAAAUAAAUAUUUUGCAAUCUUUGCUUCACAGUUUUUACUUUCUGGAGCAAUGAAACAUGACUAGCUCCUGGGAACCUCCAUAUGCCGUGGGAGCAGCCUAAGAAAUAGUUUAAAAAAAAAAAAAAAAAAAAGACCAAAAAAAGAAAGUCAUGCCUUUUUCUCUUUGUCUGGGGACCCCCUACCCCAUCUUCUUAGAGGAAGAAGGGGGGUAUUCAGUGGAGGUCAGAGUUCUCUGAAGGACUUUUGACAUUGCUCUCAGAUGUGCUCUUACUCCACUCCACUUGCUAAGCUGGCGGGGCCAUCUUCGCCUUAUAUAGAAGAAAUCUGCCUGAGGAUGAAGUCAACACAGGAAAAUAAAACCAAGAGAUAGGCAGAGUUUUGAUGUUAUCAUUUGAUCUCUGGUUUGAGCCUGUGCCUGAAGCCAGUGAACUACCCCUUUAUAAGAGUUGAAGUAAUUGCUUUUUUAAAGCUUAAGCCAAUUUGAGUUGGGUAUAUGUCACUGCAAACAAGAUUCCUUAUAAUACAGUGUUCCUUUGCUUUACUUUGCUCAGUGAGAGGGUAGUUUCUUCCUGCCUCUACUGUGUUACUGAAACCAAACCACCUCUGACUCAAACCCAACCUAAACCCAGAGUAGGACUUGAACCCACUGUUUUUUCAUUCGAAUCACUCACCUGGUGUCUGGACUAACUGAGGUUCCAGUUCUUUGUGUCUCAGCAAGAAAAAAAAAGUGACAGGCAAGAAAUAGAUUCAGAUAGGACACUAGUGAGGGAUGCAAGCAGCAGGCUCUGCUCUGAGGAUUAGGUAGCCUACGCUUUUAUAAUCCAAAGAAAGUGGGGAGUAGGAAGAGACCGCCUUCUUCCUCAUUCUUCAAGUAAACGUCAGGCUCACAUCAUCAGCUCCUCCUUCCUAUCAGGUAAGAGAGUGUUUGACCCUAUGAGGUCAAACCGGGACUGCCUUGGUGCUUAUUCAAAUCAGCAGAAGGGUGGAAACAUAUGCUAAAAUGUUUUAUCAUCUCAGGUUUCCAUAUAAUGAGGCUGUGCUACUUUGGAAUGUCAUCUUUCCCUUAAAUGCCUGUCCUUGGCCCUAAGGAUCAUUAUCUUGCUGAACUUGAAUGCUAGGCCCCAUUUUAUCUUUCACAUAAUGACUGAGGCAUAUCUCAGGUUUUAUAGUUCAGCAAGCCUGCUUCAUUCCAAGACAUUCGGAUGGCUUUCUUGAGUGAUCAUUAGCUUACAGGGCUCUCCCAAAGUUCCCUAGGUGUCUCUCUCUCGGGCCCCUACUGGAGCUUCUACAACUCCCUGUGUAACUACUUCCUCCAUCCCUAUCAUUACUACCAGCAACAAGUCCAGACUUGGAGUUCCCGUCGUGGCCCAGUGGUUAAUGAAUCUGACUAGGAACCAUGAAGUUUCAGGUUCGAUCCCUGGCCUUGCUCAGUGGCUCUGGUGUAAGCUGGUGGCUACAGCUCCAAUUCAACCCCUAGCCUGGGAACCUCCAUAUGCUGCGGGAGCGGCCCUAAAAAAG